rnacentral:rRNA from 1 species
UACGUAGGGUGCGAGCGUUAAUCGGAAUUACUGGGCGUAAAGCGUGCGCAGGCGGCGCGUUAAGACAGGUGUGAAAGCCCCGGGCUCAACCUGGGAAUGGCGAUGGAUACUGGCUCGCUAGAGUGCGGUAGAGGAGAGUGGAAUUCCCGGUGUAGCAGUGAAAUGCGUAGAGAUGUGGAGGAAUACCGAUGGCGAAGGCAGCCCCCUGGGACGUCACUGACGCUCAUGCACGAAAGCGUGGGGAGCAAACAGG